GAAAGCUCAGUUGUUUAUAGAGUGUGGUGCUGGUAACGCCAAGGUUGCAGGUUCAAGCCCCGUAUGGGGCAGCU